GGGUUGUGAGGUUAAGCGACUAAGCGUACACGGUGGAUGCCCUGGCAGUCAGAGGCGAUGAAGGACGUGCUAAUCUGCGAUAAGCGCCGGUAAGGUGAUAUGAACCGUUAUAACCGGCGAUUUCCGAAUGGGGAAACCCAGUGUGACUCGUCACACUAUCAUUAACUGAAUCCAUAGGUUAAUGAGGCGAACCGGGGGAACUGAAACAUCUAAGUACCCCGAGGAAAAGAAAUCAACCGAGAUUCCCCCAGUAGCGGCGAGCGAACGGGGAGGAGCCCAGAGCCUGAAUCAGCAUGUGUGUUAGUGGAAGCGUCUGGAAAGGCGCGCGAUACAGGGUGACAGCCCCGUACACAAAAGCGCAUGUGCUGUGAGCUCGAUGAGUAGGGCGGGACACGUGGUAUCCUGUCUGAAUAUGGGGGGACCAUCCUCCAAGGCUAAAUACUCCUGACUGACCGAUAGUGAACCAGUACCGUGAGGGAAAGGCGAAAAGAACCCCGGCGAGGGGAGUGAAAAAGAACCUGAAACCGUGUACGUACAAGCAGUGGGAGCACAGGUUUACCUGUGUGACUGC
rnacentral:rRNA from 1 species